rnacentral:miRNA from 1 species
GCAGCCCAGCUGAGGCCUCUG